AGUGAACGCUGGCGGUAGGCCUAACACAUGCAAGUCGAACGGCAGCACAGUAAGAGCUUGCUCUUACGGGUGGCGAGUGGCGGACGGGUGAGGAAUACAUCGGAAUCUACUUUUUCGUGGGGGAUAACGUAGGGAAACUUACGCUAAUACCGCAUACGACCUACGGGUGAAAGCAGGGGAUCUUCGGACCUUGCGCGAUUGAAUGAGCCGAUGUCGGAUUAGCUAGUUGGCGGGGUAAAGGCCCACCAAGGCGACGAUCCGUAGCUGGUCUGAGAGGAUGAUCAGCCACACUGGAACUGAGCCACGGUCCAGACUCCUACGGGAGGCAGCAGUGGGGAAUAUUGGACAAUGGGCGCAAGCCUGAUCCAGCCAUACCGCGUGGGUGAAGAAGGCCUUCGGGUUGUAAAGCCCUUUUGUUGGGAAAGAACAGCAGCGGGUUAAUACCCCGCUGUUCUGACGGUACCCAAAGAAUAAGCACCGGCUAACUUCGUG
rnacentral:rRNA from 1 species